rnacentral:rRNA from 1 species
AUACGGAGGAUCCAAGCGUUAUCCGGAUUUAUUGGGUUUAAAGGGAGCGUAGGUUGACAUAUAAGUCAGCUGUGAAAGUUUACGGCUCAACCGUGAAAUUGCAGUUGAUACUGUAUGUCUUGAGUGUACAAGAGGUGGGCGGAAUUCGUGGUGUAGCGGUGAAAUGCUUAGAUAUCACGAAGAACUCCAAUUGCGAAGGCAGCUCACUGGGGUACAACUGACACUGAGGCUCGAAAGUGUGGGUAUCAAACAGGAUUAGAUACACUGGUAGUCCACACAGUAAACGAUGAAUACUCGCUGUUUGCGAUAUACAGUAAGCAGCCAAGCGAAAGCAUUAAGUAUUCCACCUGGGGAGUACGCCGGCAACGGUGAA